UGGCUCAGAACGAACGCUGGCGGCGUGCCUAAUACAUGCAAGUCGAGCGGAUCUUCUCCUUCGGGAGAAGGUUAGCGGCGGACGGGUGAGUAACACGUAGGCAACCUGCCCACAAGACCGGGAUAACAUUCGGAAACGAAUGCUAAGACCGGAUACGCAAGCCUGGGGCAUCUCGGGCUUGGGAAACACGGUGCAAGCUGUGGCUUGUGGAUGGGCCUGCGGCGCAUUAGCUAGUUGGUGAGGUAACGGCCCACCAAGGCGAGGAUGCGUAGCCGACCUGAGAGGGUGAACGGCCACACUGGGACUGAGACACGGCCCAGGAUCCUACGGGAGGCAGC
rnacentral:rRNA from 1 species